rnacentral:rRNA from 1 species
UGGGCGGAAGCCUGAUCCAGCCAUGCCGCGUGUGUGAAGAAGGCCUUUUGGUUGUAAAGCACUUUAAGCGAGGAGGAGGCUACCUGGAUUAAUACUCUAGGAUAGUGGACGUUACUCGCAGAAUAAGCACCGGCUAACUCCGUGCCAGCA